rnacentral:lncRNA from 1 species
GAUCAGCUGUAACGAAUGCUGGAGGUAGUAACGGUAUCUGUAAGUAAACCACAACAUAUUUUAUCCAAGCAUAAAUUUACAUUAACGGACCUGUUGGGACUUCUCAAAUAUAUCUAAGGAAAUGGGGAAAUGCUAACAGUCAACGACUAUACCAAAGAGGACAAAUACAUGACAAUUCUCACGUUAAGUUAAACACUGUUUCUUAAAAACCCUAGGAAUACAUUGCCUGACUGUGUUCUGUACUUCAAAGCUGUUCUCUUGGACCCAGUCAUUGUUGGACCUGACUUUGUGACGGUGGGUGUGCCAUGCAGUUUUGAGUGUGUUGCCCAGUGCUUUCCCUCCUGUAACUACACCAUGGGUAAAGACGGGCAGGUUGAACCUGGAAACAAUCUGUUCUUCACGGUUGUUCAAUGGAAGGAGACACUAACAAUUACCUGCACUGCAAGAAAUACAUCUGGGGUGUCCUCCACUGUUGAAAAGAUCCUACAGGUUUUAGAGGGACCAAACAACGUAACUAUCAUUGGCCCUGACCUGAUGACCCAAGGGUACUCUGAGAGCUUCCAGUGUCACGCCAACUGUCGUCCCUCCUGCAACUACACCUGGACAGUGGAACAAUCACUUGUGGGAAAUGGGGGCAAUAUUACUAUAAAUUCCUCAGAUUUUGCAUUCCCCGUGAAACUGGACUGCCAGGCAGAAAACAGUGUGUCUGGUCUAUACGCUAUGGCAAGCAGAACCAUCCCUGUGAUAUUUGGUCCAUCAGAGGCUGAAAUCAUUGGUCCAGACGUCGUUGUCGUCGGCGUCAGGUCUGAAUUUCAGUGCUCUGCCAAAUGCAUUCCCAGCUGUGACUACUUCUGGAUCUAUGAAGGUCGGCUUGUCAAUGGCAGCAAGAUGGAGAUGACGGCCAACAGACACGUGAAGUCAGAGAUGAUUACAUGCAAGGUUGAAAAUACGGUCUCAGCUCAUUCUGAAGUGGUCCGCAGGACCAUAAGGGUGGAAGAAAAGUCCAAUGCCACAAAGGUGACACAGAUUAUGGCCCUGUUCCUGUUUGCCCUAACAAUCACAUUUGCCAGUGUAAUCUCACCAUGAUCCAGCAGAGGGCAGUGUGGUACAAG